AUCGCCCCAGGGCUCCCAGCCGCCUCUGCGGCUGCGAGCUCGGGGGUGAUUUAAAGGGCCCCGGGCUCCCAGCCGCCACUACCGCAGGUGGAGCCCUGGCCCUUUAAAUCAAGAUUUAAAGGCCUCCAGCCCCCCGAGGUUUUAAGGCCCUUCCGGGUGAGGCUACGCCUCCUGCUCAGGUCUCCGGCGGACCGGAUUCCUAGCUGGGAAGAGACGGAAGGGGAUGGACUGCGACUGGAGAGCAAGCACAGUUGGCUGAUCUCAUGAGCAGAGCAUUGUGAUAUUUUCUGUUUUAUUUUUCUAUCCCUUUCCUAAUAGUUGCUAAUAUUCUGUUAGACUUCUUGAUUAAUGCUGUGCCCUGAGCUGAAGUUUUCAAAGAACUAUCUGCAGCAUGUGUAUUAUGUUCCUUAUCAAAUUGUUUCACCAUCAAAAAUCAAUGUGUAUUUUACCAAUCUAAUGGUUCUGGUCACUCCUGAUGCUCUUUGUUUACUUUCUGCUUUUUUUCUUGUUUGACUAUGAAAUGAAUAAGGACAAUUUCAAUUUGUUUAUAAUCAGUUUCACUGACAUAUGUAGUGCUCCAAAGUUUGGGCUUGAAGCAUUGCAAAGUAAUGUUUAAGAAUCCAUUGUUUCCAUUGGGCAUCUAUUAAAAGUUGUGUAUA